GUUACUUGUUGUGCUUUGUACUGAUCUGAUGAUUCAAGCCCUACCAACUGAUGACACUUUGUUCUUAUGUGUGAGUUGUUACACAAGUGGAGGUUAGGGUAAUGUUAACGACUAAUAAGCAUUUUAAACCAGGCUAUGGGUUCAUUCAUUAUUUGCCUGGAACCGAUAGUUUAAUGAUGGUCAAAGGUUGCUGUCAUAUAUGUUUUUAUGCCCCACCUAAGAUAGUAGAGGGGCAUUACAUUUUCUGGUCUGUGCGUCCUAUUCGUCUGUCCGUUCGUCCGGCUUCAGAUUUAAGUUUUUGGUCAAGGUAGUUUUUGAUGAAGUUGAAGUCCAAUCAACUUUAAACUUAGUACACAUGUUCCCUUU
rnacentral:lncRNA from 1 species